rnacentral:lncRNA from 1 species
AAAUUUGAAAAUUGUAGGACAUCAAAUAUUGUCAAGUUACCCUCUCUUGCCGAUGGGUAUUUGCCUAAUGAUGUGUUAAUUCAGUUUAGAUGAAUUUAAUAUAAAGCUUUCUUUAGAAAAGUUUUAAAUUAAACAGAAUAAUAGUUACAUUGAUAUUAUGGUGACAGGCGUUCACUAAAUAAUAACGGCAAACAAGUAUUAGCAUAUGAAUGAUUUUUAACACAGUAGUUUGUGUAUAAAGUUUAUAAUACGUAACACGAUCAGACCAGAUGUCGUUGACAUCGAUUAGGAAAGAUGAUUCGACCAGUUGGGUUAGUGCGUGUAUUAGUCGUCAUUUCUGCUAUUUCAGCGAUUCUGCCGAUUCUUCUUGUAUUGAGGACACAAAGUUGUGAGUUUCAUUUUUACAAAAUUAUCUUUGGUUCAAUUAGAUACAUGUUAUAUUAUUUUCCCGAAUUAUUUAUAGUUCAUGGCUAUACUUUUUGUAUUAUGAUGUUUAGCAAACAACCUGUUCAAAUCAGUGUGGUCGCUGACAAUUGACUUUUAAAACAUGCUGAAUGUACAUUAUUUCUUUCUUUUGUGGGUGGUUGUUUCAAUGUAAAUUUGACUUAAAAAAGUCUUUUUGCAAUACAAAUACAUAUUGAUAUGUCAUUACAUAUUACAACAUUGUCAUCUUAUAUCUGCCUUGGUUUAAAAUUACUUAUAUAAAAAGGGCCAAUAUUGAGAUGUAACAGUUGUUGCAUUCGUUGCAUUCAGUCGUAGUCAUUAAUAUAACAGAAAAUGUGGUAACAAAAUAUUUUAUAUUUUCCACCAAACACACACCUUGAUCAUACUUCUUGAAAUAUGGAUUUGUAUGCCCCAUUUAUGGACAUUAUGUUUUCUGGUCUGUGCGUCCGUUCGUUCAUCCGUUGUACCGUCCGUUCGUUCGUCCGUUCGUUAGUCCGUCCCGCUUCAGGUUAAAGUUUUUGGAAUAGGUAGUUUUUGAUGAAGUUGAAGUCCAAUCAACUUGAAACUUAGUAAACAUGUUCCCAUUGAUAUGAUCUUUCUAAUUUUAAUGCCGAAUUGGAGUUUUUACCCCAUUUUCACGGUCCAUUGAACAUAGGAAAUGAGUGUGGAUGGGGCAUCCGUGUACUGGGGACAGUCACAUGCUUGUUUGUGUUGAAUAAGGAUUUUGUUAACUUUUAAGUAGUUUGCUUCGUUAGAUGUCUUUUUGGUAGUCAGUCACAAUUUCCUGCCUUGCUUUCAUAUACUGGUCCAUUGGGCCGGGUGUAUUAAUAUUUAUCAUAAAUGGUAUGUUUAUAAUCUAUACAUAUUGAUACAUGUCACAAUAAUAAAUAAUUUACUUACUUAUACUACAGUGAUAUGCAUUUAUGAUAAGGCAAUGGUAUUUAGCAUGCAGUUGUCAUCAGUGGCGGAUCCAGAACUUUUCCUAAGGUGUGGGGGGGCAGCUCCAGUCAUGCUUCAAUGAUUCCCUAUAUAAUCCCCCCCCCUGGAUCCGCCUAUGGUCAUAAUGAUCAGCGUUGAUAUGAGAUUACUUCGUCCUUCAUCCCAUUCAUGGCUCAUUUACUUUUAAAAAGUUAAUGCGUUGCCAUUUUAGACAAGCGAGACAUUUCCCUGUGCAUGUACAUGUAACUGUUAUUUAAAGAAAGGCAAUUAAGGGAUUAAAUCAAUUCUGAAAUGUUUAUUCUACAUCUGAAAUUUCAGCUUGCAUUUGGUUGAUAUAAACUAUAAAGUAAAUAACCUAUUUAUGAUCAUUUAUUUAUUCACAAGAUUUACCAACAAAAUGCAGUAGGUUGUCUAAAUAAAUCCGCGGGCCUAGUGUAAAAAAAAAUCGCCAUACGACUCUGAGGGGCGUUUUCCUAAAGGGAAAAUAUACAAACUAACAUUGGGCUUGGUAUUUUUGGUGAUAUUUGAAAGAACUGAAAACUGCAUAGGUAAUUCAUGUAAGAAAUAUGCCCAAAAAAAUUAGUGAUUUUUAUUCGAGAAUAGUUUCAUUCUGCCAGUAUACUUUAUUCGAAGGAUGGAAAUUCCUAGUAUUUUAUUUGUACCAACAAAAACGCUAAUCAGUUAUAUAAUGUACAUUAUUUUUCAGUUUUGACUAUUCCACAACAUAUCAGAGACGAGAUCACUGCAAGACAAGUACUCAGCCUGGUAUGGUUAAUAAGUAAAUUAAUUGAAAGAGAUACGAAAUAAACACCAUGAUACAAAAUGAUCGAAGUAAACAUCAUGAUAAAAAAUGAACGAAAUAAACAUCAAGACAAAAAAUGAAGGAAGUAAACACCAUGAUAAAAAUGAACGAAGUAAACACCAUGAUAAAAAUGAAGGAAGUAAACACCAUAAUAAAAAAUGAAGGAAGUAAACACCAUGAUAAAAAAUGAACGAAGUAAACAUCAUGAUAAAAAAUGAAGGAAGUAAACACCAUGAUAAAAAUGAACGAAGUAAAAACACCAUGAUAAAAAUGAACGAAGUAAACAC